CACAAAACACGAGAAAGGAAAAGAAAGAGAGAGGAGAGAACACCGAACGACGUUUUGCUCUUUCGUGUGCUCGCGUACGAUUUUAUAUCGUUUUCCUUUUUUUGUAUAUCAUACGUUAUUAUAUACACACAAACAAACGGGUAAUCAUCUCUGAAACGACGCAGAUAAUAAGAAG
rnacentral:ribozyme from 14 species